rnacentral:rRNA from 1 species
UACGUAGGGGGCAAGCGUUGUCCGGAAUCACUGGGCUUAAAGGGCGCGUAGGCGGCCGGGUUGGUCGUGGGUGAAAUCCCCCAGCUUAACUGGGGAAGGGCCUACGAUACUGCCUGGCUCGAGGGAGGAAGGGGCGGUCGGAACUGUCGGUGGAGCGGUGAAAUGCGUUGAUAUCGACAGGAACGCCGGUGGCGAAAGCGGACCGCUGGCCCUCUUCUGACGCUGAGGCGCGAAAGCCAGGGGAGCGAACGGG